rnacentral:rRNA from 1 species
AUUGAACGCUAGCGGGAUGCUUUACACAUGCAAGUCGAACGAGUGGCGGACGGGUGAGUAACAUAUCGGAACGUGCCCAGUAGCGGGGGAUAACUACUCGAAAGAGUGGCUAAUACCGCAUAUCAUUGGAACGGCCGAUAUCGGAUUAGCUAGGUGGUUGGGUAAAGGCUCACCAAGGCAACGAUCCGUAGAUGGUUUGUGAGGACGACCAGCCACACUGGGACUGAGACACGUCCCAGUCUCCUACGGGAGGCAGCAGUGGGGAAUGUAGGACAGUGGGGGAAACCCUGAUCCGACCAUCCCGCGUGUAUGAGAAGGCCUUCGUGUUGUGAAGUACUUUUGGCAGAGAAGCGGUAUCUGCAGAAUAAGCACCGGCUAACUACGUGCCAGCAGCCGCGGUAAUAC